rnacentral:rRNA from 1 species
AUGUUCUUGGAGCUACUCAAUAACUGGGAUACCCAGUAUAGCUGGGGUUCGGCCGCACUAGCAUAUUUGUAUCGUCAGCUUGACUUGGCGUGUCGGAGGAAGGGAGAUACAUCCUCAUUGUCUGGAUUUGUUUGGAGCCUAUCCGUGUGGAUGUGGGAGCGGAUCCCGGUUGGACGGCCCGAUUUCAAGAACCCCCUCAUGGCAAACCCGCGGGGUAAUCAUGACGGGUUGCAUGAUGAUGAUCCAUAUCGGCGCCCUACGCUUGCUUACUAUUGGGAACAAGUAACAGUCUACACAGGAAGCUCGCAUGUGCGAUACAAGUGCUAUAUGAACGAGCAGGACACCUUGACUGCUGAGCAGGUAUAUUGGUUGCCUUAUGUGGAAGAUCGUGACUUUGAUCUUAAUGAGAUGUGCACGCGUGAUAGCCAUCUUUGGCGGGCGAGGUGCCCAAUGAUAUGCUUCUUCGCAGUCGAGUGGCACUUUGUAGACUGUGUGGCAAGACAAUUUGGAAGAAGACAAGGUAUUCCAAUUGAGGAGAGCAAGGAGGAAAUGCUAUCUCUGCAUCGGUUCGAUCGAAGGAACAAUCGGGAUAUAUCGGAUUGGGCAAACAAACACCGUGCGUGGAUAGAAAUUUGGAAUCAAAGAGAUACAUUAGUGCAAUCAGAGAAUAGACCUCACAAUCAGUCAGCAUAUCAGAAGUAUCAAGUGUGGUAUGCGGAUCGUUACCGGUUGAAGCUGAAGCCUGGUUGGACUCAUGAGGAGUGGUCGGAGUUGGUGUCUAAAGACCCGGAGACUGCACAAGGUUAUCAAACCUUCAACACGUCUGUGAGAGACACCAGAGGGGCUCACGUUGACUAUGCACCGAUGCAUGACGAAAUGGGCAGAGAGUUGCUUCUGUGCGUCAACAAUGCCAAUGUUGCACUGAGUCAUCCACCUGGUGGUGCAUUAUCUGAGAGGACUCUUAGAAGCACGAUGGAGAAGUUCAAGAAGCGGUUCCAUAAGAUGGCAGCUAUGCUUUCUUGCCAUGGUGCUCAGUCCAGUGACGUGUAUGCACCUGGUAGCCGCGCCGCCAGAGCUAAUAAACGGCGUUAUGUCCAGAACGAAGAGGACAUAGAGGAGGAGGUCAAUGAAGAGGAGCCAACACAUCAAGAGGAGCCAACACAUCAUGAUGAGCAUGAGUAUGAUGCAACACAUCAAGAGGAUCAUGAGUAUGAUGUUGAUGCUCCACAACCAUCAUAG